CCUACGGGAGGCAGCAGUAGGGCAUAUUGCUCAAUGGGGGAAACCCUGAAGCAGCAACGCCGCGUGGAGGAUGAAGGUUUUCGGAUUGUAAACUCCUUUUGUUAGAGAAGAUGAUGAUGGUAUCUCAUGAAUAAGCACCGGCUAACUCCGUGCCAGCAGCCGCGGUAAUACGAAGGGUGUAAGCGUUACUCGGAUUCACUGGGCGUAAAGAGAGCGUAGGCGGGAGAGCAAGUAAGCUGUGAAAUCCUCUGGCUUAACCAGAGAACUGCAUUUGAAACUGUUGGUCUAGAGUAUGGGAGAGGUAGACGGAAUUCUUGGUGUAGCGGUAAAAUGCGUAGAGAUCAGGAGGAAUACUAGUGGCGAAGGCGACCUGCUAGAACAUAACUGACGCUGAGGCGCGAAAGCGUGGGGAGCAAACAGGAUUAGAUACCCUUGUAGUC
rnacentral:rRNA from 1 species